rnacentral:rRNA from 1 species
AUGGGAGCUUUCCCUUCACCGCUACCAUCGGGGUGGUCCACAGGGUUCAUAACUACCCCUCUUACUACGGGGCGUUUACCUAGCCAACACUUAGAUCCGGCUCUACCCAAACUUUUUUGGUUCACCCCAACAUUACCCACUUGUCCGACUGUUGCCAAGCAGUUUUGGGAUACUAAACGGACCUCCCUAGAUGGUAAUCUUAAAGUGGUCGAUUUACCCUCUUUUGCAAUGAGUUUCGCUACAACACCUGCUGCUCUAGCUAAUUGCCCACCCCUUCCACGUGUGAUUUCUAUGUUAUGCAUGGCCGUGCCUAAGGGCAUAUUGAUUGAAGUAGAUUCUUCUUUUCUCUCAAAAAACCCUUCCCAAACUGUACAAGCUUCUUCCAAAGCAUACGGCUUUCUAGAUGUAUAUGGCGAUCUCUAG